CGUUCCCGGCCUUGUACACACCGCCCGUCACACCACGAAAGUCGGCAAUACCCGAAGCCGGUGUGCUAACCCGUAAGGGAGGCAGCCGUCUAAGGUAGGGUCGGUGAUUGGGGUGAAGUCGUAAACAAGGUACC
rnacentral:rRNA from 1 species